ACUCACAGCAGGGCGCUUACAUCGCCACACAAGGACCGAAAGACAACAGGGAGGAUACCACUCAUGACUUCUGGCGGAUGAUAUGGUGUACCGGGUCACAUACCGUGGUCAUGGUGGCCAACCUUGUGGAGAACGCCAAGGUUAAGGUGGCACAGUACUGGCCGGACGAUGGUCAAAACAUUGUCAAGGCUUGGAUGAAUAUACAACACGUCUCCACCGAGGUUAAGUUGGACUUUAUCAUUCGUACCUUCUUGAUUGCAACAGAGAAUGAGCAAAGGCUGGUGA